UACGUAGGGUGCGAGCGUUAAUCGGAAUUACUGGGCGUAAAGCGUGCGCAGGCGGUUUUGUAAGCCAGAUGUGAAAUCCCCGGGCUUAACCUGGGAAUGGCAUUUGGGACUGCAAGGCUGGAGUGUGGCAGAGGAGACUGGAAUUCCCGGUGUAGCAGUGAAAUGCGUAGAUAUCGGGAGGAAUACCGAUGGCGAAGGCAGGUCUCUGGGCCGUUACUGACGCUGAGGAGCGAAAGCGUGGGGAGCGAACAGG
rnacentral:rRNA from 1 species